AUAAAUAUUUUUAAAAGGAAUGUGAACAUUUUAAAAUUUUACAUUAAUGAGAGUAUAAAACACAUAACAUAUAACCUACAUUUAUAUGAUGGAAUCUUAACUUUCUACCCAAUAGUUCUAUGAGAAUAAUUUUAAAAUUUUGUUAUGCAUUAUUUGAACACCAUCAAUCUUUUUAAAUAUUUCUAAAUUGGAAAAUAUAUCUUUUGCCAGAAUAUAAAGACUGGGGUAUUUCAGCCUUUUCAGGAAAGAAAAAAAGAACUAAUUACUGCAGUGGUUCCUGAACUUCCCUACAGUCAAAACUCAAAUAAUUAGAAAAAAACCUCCUCUUAUUAAUCCUUAACAAGAGGCUGUCACAACGACAGCAAACCGGAUUUAUUAACAUUUAUUUGUGUCCCUUAAAAAUGGUGGAUAUAUUUUAUAUAUAUAUAUGUUUAUGUUUGACCCUAAAUAAUUGACCAGACAAGUUUUAUGUCAUUGUAUACAUUGUGGGUACUACCAAUUAUAGUAUAACAAUAUCAAGUAUUGAAAAGGGGUCAAGAAAAACAAAUUAACUAAUGAAAAUCAGUUUAAUGAAUUACAAGUCAAUUCUUCAUAACUUUACAGUAUGUAAUGUAUACAUAUUCAAUAGUUCUUUUUGAAAGUGCUUUUCUACUUUUCUGUUUUUGUAUUAUGGGUGGAGUCCCUUACCCAGUGGCUUCACAAUAAAAAAAAUUUAAGAGUUUAGGUCUAAGACUCUUAGUACAAGCUAGGUUUACCAGUUCUACCUGUAUUAAGUUGUUUUAAACUUUCCUACUUAUGUUUAUUCAACAUAUUUUUGGUGGUAGCUAUGUUUGUUUGGCCUUAAAGAUUCUGUAUAACACAUUUCUGUAUGAUAUAAUCUUGUCCAUAUAGAUGUUUUUAUUUACAUUCUCAAUUUUAUAGGUAAUGCUUAUCAUACUAAUUAUAGUAUCAUUAAACUCAAUGUAGGGUUAUAGAUCAAUGGGUGUUAUUUGAUGUGCCUAAACUUAAGUAUUUUUAUCUACUUUCACUAGACAUGGCAUUUUUUUUUUUGGUAAAGGUGCAAGUACUAUGCGGAAAAGGAGUAUAAAUUCAAUGACAAAAGCAAAUUGAAAAUGACUAGACUUUGAUUAUAACAAUUAUAUCACAUAUAAACACACAGCACCAAAAAAUAAAAUUCUUUUUAGAGAAAGUUAAUAUAUGAUCAACUAUGUACCAUGAAAAUUUAAAGGAAAUAAAAAUUCCAUGACACAAGAAUAUUGAAAAUAACUAGACUUUCUUAUAACAAUAAAAAAAAAAAGUCAAUCUUAUCUGAAAUCUAAAUACACAGCACCAAACAUUUUUUUUUUAAAUGUAAGUAACCCUUUCAUGGCAGUUAACAAACUCAUUCUGUAUUUCAGGACCAGCCUGACUUACAGUAAAAUCAACAACAAAAAAGAUAAACAAUUGCUUCUAUUUGGUGUAUCCAGUCUUCUGAAAAAGCUGAAAUUCUUAAUUGAUAGAAGUUAUCAUUUUAACAAUACAAAUAUAGACCAAAAAAUCUGUAAAUUGUCAGAAUGUGAUUGCAUUUUUGACAACCGAAAACAAAAUUUUGUAACCUUCAGACAAAGUUUAAAAAAAAAAAAAUUAUCUUCAUAAAUUCCAC
rnacentral:lncRNA from 1 species